UAUAUUGCGCAUAUUAUUCAGUCUACAGUUGAAAAUCGUAGCGAUAGGUUGUGUUCCAUCGUUAAAGAUCAAUUGGAGUUUCGAAGACAGGAUAAUUUUAAAAGUGUAAUAAUUUUUGCAGGAUUAACAUAAAACAACACGAUAACUACAUGCAAAUGUAAUAAAUAACUGAUUGUUGAUCAAGUCUGAAAAAGGAAUUUUCAAUAUGUUUUACGAAAGAGAGCUUAAAUUUCUAUAUAGAAAAAAAAA